AGUGAGGAGGUGUGUCCAGCCGGGAACAACUGCGUUUUAAACGAAAGCCAGAGAGAAAAAGGUCUAGCCGCUUCUUCAGUCUUAUGCUUACUAGUACACGUAUUGCCCACACCCUCAUCUACGUACCUUCGGAGGGUACCAGCGAGAUGUCCAGAAAAACAGGCGUCUUUCCCAGCCCUAUAUGGUGGCACUAGGGAUUGGGCCGUAGAGUUUCUGCAUGCAAAGCAGCAACUCGGCCCGCAGCCCUUCCCUGAAGGAGGAGGGACAGAAGCUGCCUAGACUGAAAUCCCCUCCUCUCUACCAAAGCAAUUUAGGGCGGGUGGCAAAGGUUGAGCGCCCUUGCAGGGGGCCGCUAUAUCUUGCCCGGAGCGUCCCACGCGCGCCUACCUCUCCAGGUACCGCCUCUCAUUGCCAAAAAUGAGAAGACCUGCCUCGUUCUUGUUCUGCUGUCCUCAGGCAGCGUAGUUGCUUUCCGGAUGAAGUCCUUCCAAACAGCAGAAGUGGCGGCGUCGGAAGAGAAACCCCCACCCUUGUUGGAUUUCACAACGAAGGAAGGCUACAAUUCUACGCAGACUUAUCUGGCAGUAAAGAUCUCACUGGCACCUCCCGUCGGAGUGUUAAAAUAUCUGCUUAAGCUGAUUUUGCACAAAGCUAUGUCCAACUGUUUAGGGACUCGACUGACAGGGUGAGCAACCCACGCUGGCUCUAUCUCCUGUUAACAUUGGCUGGAGUAUCCUUGCAAAGAUCCUAUCAGCAAUCCUGUCAGGAAAUAGUGAGCUCCUUCCCCUCCCCUCCCCCCGGAACAACAAGGGCAAAAUCCUGGCGCUAUUUGUACUUCUACGGAAAGCUGGCCCAAAACCAAAUGAGGUGUGCCUGGGACCACUGAAAGCCAUAUUCCCUCCACUUGACCAGGCGAAGGUUUGCACAUUCGAUACAAGGCAUGCUAAAAGCUUUCUGGCAGGCCUUUCAACACCACUGACAUUGGGAUCCAGUUUGUUUGUUAUGUGCCUUCAAGUUGGUCACAAUUUAUGGCAACCCUAUGAAUCAACAACCUCCAAUAGCAUAUGUCAUGAACCACCCCCUUCAGAUCUUAUAAGUUCAGGUCUGUGGCUUCCUUUAUGAAAUCAAUCAAUUGUUUGGCCUUCCUCUUUUUCUACUCCCUUCUGUUUUUCCCAGCAUUAUUGUAUUUUCUAGUGAAUCAUGACUUCUCAUUAUGAGUCCCAAGUAUGAUAACCUCAAUGUCAUCAUUUUGGCUUCUAGUGAAGGUUCUGGUUUAAUUUGUUCUGACACCCAAUUAUUUGUCUUUUUCGUGGUCCAUGGUAUCUGCAAAGAUCUCCUCCAACAAGCGAUCAUGAAGUUGGUUCCUAGUUCCCAGUUCCUUAUUUGCUUGAAAGUUCAAAAUGCUAAAAAAGAAGAAAACUUGACUGCUACAGUAACUUCAAGCCAAACUUAACAUGUCUCUGAACCCCAAAAUAUAUGUUGGGAUACCCUGUAUGAUAUAUCACCAUGAUCGGGGGAUUCUCCCCGUCUAGACUAACAAUACAUUCAUGCAAUCAAAAUAGGCUUCUGAUAUAAUCGUAAAUACAUAAUGAUGUCACAAAAUCAUAAAUAAUAAGUAACUGGGGGUGCCCAUCCCAAAAUCUGCUCUGGGCCAGAACAAAUCAUACACCCCAGGAAAGGGGAGAGUGUCCUCUAUGAGAAGCCACUGCGUCCCGCCUGGCUGAGAGCUUCUGCUGGGCGCAGAGCAUGGAGGAGAGCAUCUAUGCAAAACCAAAGCAGGGAAAAACAUACAGGAAAAAAUAAGGAACUGGGGGUGCCCACCCCAAAAUCUGCUCUGGGCCAGGACAAAUCAUACACCCCAGGAAAGGGGAGGAUGUCUUCUACGAGAUGCCACUGUGUCCCGCCUGGCUGCGAGCUUUUGCUGGGCACAGAGCAUGGAGGAGGGCAUCUAUGCAAAACCAAAGCAGGGAAAAACAUACAGGAAAAAAUAAGGAACUGGGGGUGCCCACCCCAAAAUCUGCUCUGGGCCAGGACAAAUCAUACACCCCAGGAAUGGGGAGGGUGUCCUCUUCGAGAUGCCAGUGCAUCCUGCCUGGCCCAGAGCUUUUGCUAGGCGCAGGGCACAGAUGAGGGCAUCUAUGCAAAACCAAAGCAGGGAAAAACAUACAGGGAAAAAUAAGGAACUGGGGGUGCCCACCCCAAAAUGUGCUCUGGGCCAGGACAAAUCAUACACCCCAGAAAAGGGGAGGGUGUCAUCUACAAGAUAUCAGUGCGUCCCGCCUGGCUGAGAGCUUCUGCUGGGCGCAGAGCGUGGAUGAGGGCAUCUACGCAAAACGAACAUGGCCAAAAAGACGCAGGAAAAGACAGGUAACUGGGGGUGCCCACCCCAAAAUCUGCUCUGGGCCAGGAGAAAUCAUAUACCCCAGGAAAAAAGAUGGUGUACUCUAUGAGAUGCAUGUCCUUCCCAGCUAAAAUAAUAAAGAGUAAAUAGGGGAAAAGAUAUAAUUUGGGGUGACCACUACAAAAUCUUCUGUGGGCUAUGAAAAAUCAUUCACUUGAGCAAAGUGAAUAGUGUCCUCCUCGAGAUGCCACUGCAUUCUGCCUGGCAUGAUUUGUGGUCAUACGGAACAGGUAUGGACAUUAUGCACAACAACAAUAAUCAAGCUAUGUAGAAAAUACAUAAGGAACUGUGGGUUUCCACCAUCAAACAUGCUUUGGGCACUGCAGGUCAUACACCCAUGCAUUCUGGAGAGGGUUCCCACCCAAUUCAGAACUUCUUGUGUCUGUAUGGCACAGACAAAGGCAUAUAUGUAUUAGAAAAUAUAGCGAAUAUGUACAGGAAAAGAAUAAGGAAAUGAGGUGCCCAUCACAAAAGAUGGUUUGGGGCACCAUAAAACAUAAUCAUUGCAUCUGGGAGAGUGUCUUCUCCAAGAUGCCAUCCAUGAAUGCUUUUGAGUGUCAACUAUGAAAUUACAUCUUCAAGAAAUCAUUGUUGUUUAACCUGCCACGUUUCCUUCUGUUGCCAGUACCAAUGGCUUUGUGAAAUAAUAUUUGAGCUGUAACAAGGUGAGUAAGAGGGAAGACCCGAUACAAAAAUUAAACAUAAAUAAAUCCCAUCAGAGAUCAUGUACUUCAUCUUUCAACAACCCUUUUACGGAGAGACCUUGUCCCAGUAUGCGUCUGUAUUGGAAUUAUAUUUAAGAUGUUUUCAGCAAUGUUUUGUAGUUUCCAAAAGGUGUUUUUCAAUGUUUUGUAUUUGAUUUUGUAAAGAUCUUCUGUUUUUAAUAUGUUUUUAAAAGACUUGGGGGCGGUAUCACUUUUUUGCCACCCUGGGCUAAUGCUUGGAGGAAGGACAGGAUAGAAAUAUAAUAAAUAAAUACAUACACACAUACAACCAUACUUUUAGAGGUACUUUUUUGUUUACUAUAUAUAUAUAUAUAAAAAUUAACAAGUCA